GGACCAUUAGCUCAGUCGGUUAAAGCCAACCGCUCAUAACGGUUAGGUCACAGGUUCGAGUCCCGUAUGGUCCA
rnacentral:tRNA from 1 species